AUGAAGCAGAUAGCAUUAGACAGAGGAGCUGGAGAGAAGUUGGCCAAGGCCAAGGCCAAGGCCAAGGCUCUAGGGACUGACAUUGCUGGAAAUAACGCAAAGAGAGCAGGACCGUUCAUCCUGGGUCCCCGCCUGGGCAACUCACCGGUACCGAGCAUUGUGCAGUGUUUGGCAAGGAAAGAUGGCACAGAUGACUUCUAUCCGUUGAAGAUCCUCACCCUUGAGGAGAGGGGCGAGCAAGGAAUAGAGAGCUAAGAGGAAAGGCAGGGCAAGAUGCUGCUGCAUACCAAGUACUCUCUGCUCUCGCUGCUACACACACAGGAUGGUGUGGUCCACCACCAUGGACUCUUCCAGUACCGCACCUGUGAAGCUGUCGAGGACACAGAGUCUGGUCGGAUGGUAAAGAAGAUGAAGAAAACGCAUUUGCCUCGGUCUUGUCUGCCUCUGUGCACACGACUUCAGUGACAAGACUGCUGACCUCAUCAACCUGCAGCACUAUGUCAUCAAGGAGAAGAGAGGCUUAGUGAGCGCGAGACCGUGGUCAUUUUCUAUGACGUGGUCCGGGUGGUGGAAGCCCUGCACCGGAUAAACAUCAUGCACAGAGACCUGAAGCUUGGGAACAAGUUGCUCAAUAAAAGGACCCAUUGGAUGACUAUCACCAACUUCUGCCUUGGGAAGCACCUUGGGAGUGAGGGGGGCCUGCUGAAGGACCAGAGGGGGAGCCCUGCCUACAUUAGUCCUGAUGUGCUCAGUGGCCGGCCAUACGGGGGAAGCCUAGCGACAUGUGGGCCUUGGGCAUGGUGCUCUUCACUAUGCUCUAUGGCCAGUUCCCCUUCUACGACAGCAUCCCACAGGAGCUCUUCCGCAAGAUCAAGGCUGCUGAGUACACCAUCCCUGAGGAUGGGAAAGUCUCUGAGAACACAGUGUGUCUUAUCCGGAAACUGCUGGUCCUUGACCCCCAGCAGCGCCUGGCUGCUGCUGAUGUCCUAGAGGCCCUCAGUGCCAUCAUUGCAUCUUGGCAGUCCCUGUCCUCUCUGAGUGGCCCUUUGCAAGUGGUUCCUGACCAAAUGAGCAACUCUGACAGCUCCCAGGAGGCAAAGGUGACAGAGGAGUGCUCCCAGUGCUCCCAGUACGAGUUUGAGAACUACAUGCGACAGCAGCUGCUGCUGGUGGAAGAGAAUUGCUGCAUUCACGAGGUCCGGGCCUGGGUGCCUAAGCGGCAGUUCAGUAGCAUGCCACUGGUCCGACGGCUAGGCCACGACGCACAGCAAAUGACCUCCUUGGACACAGCCAUCCUGGCACAACGCUAUCUGCAGAAAUAGUGCCCUCAGCUAGGGCACUGGCCCAGCACACCUCUUCUCGGCCCAUCUGAGGCCCAGCCAUCGGGCCUGCCUGGGCCCUGGCCCAGCAGUGCUGGACUGAUUCUCCCAGGCUGCAAUAGGGAUAGGGCACGGAUAGGGACAGCCCAGGUCACAGCCAGGGUCAACAGAGGUAACACAAAGCUACCUUUUGGGAUGAUUGCUUGAU